ensembl:lncRNA
CUCUGCUCCAAGGACUGCUUCCCUAAGUCUCUGAGGUGCCUGAAUGGAAUAUCAGAUGGCUCCAAGCAGUUUCAUAUUGUGCCAGGCUUCUGUCUCACUCUUCAAAAAUGAAAACCUUCUGGAGAUGUGAAGGUGGGAAUUCCACCACUGUCCAAAGACUCCUGAAGGAGCCUACAGAUAAACUAGCGUGAAAGAGGCUCAAUUAUCUCCAGUCUCCAGUAGUCUCUGCAUGCUUGCUUAAAUAUUUAUUUUUCUGAUUUAUCUAUGAAUAUCUCAAUGACAUUAACUUAAGCAGAAAGAAUUCAAUGUAUUUUUGAGACAACUAUUCAGCUUUGUCUUUCACUCAUUCUUUUCAGUAUUCCCCACUGAGGAUCUGCAUGUUUCUUAGUGACCCAAAAGCAAAACUGUAAUGUCCUAGAAACAUCCAAGGCACAGAGGUGUGCUUCCAAAACCAGAAGCAUCUCUGGGUUUUGGGGAGAGAGGAACUUUUGUGAACAGCAGUUAAUGAAGACUACAAGACUUUUCACCUGUGCCUGGCUUUCCUACAGACUGACAAAGCCACAGUUUGACGUAUUUAUCUUAGAUGUUGUGACAGGUGUGUGGCCUCACUUCUUGGAAACUCAAAGAGUGCUGCGUUUCUGCUGGAAGUUAUGUACUCCAUUCUUGGAUCUGAGGACAGAGAAACCUGGAAGUGCUCUCUCUGAAAACAGGCACCAGCGUCUAUCAUCACAGCACAAAGAGAUGUCAGUGAGCUUCAGUCAAGCGUCUCAGAGAAAAGGACGAGAGCAUGCAAUAGUGCACUUGCUAGGCAAGAGUGACUCACUGAGUAUUUCAACAAGGAUUAUUUGCAAGCUGCUACCGAGUCCCACAUCAACACAUACUUCUUUCUUGAAAAUGGCUGCCAAAUUGUGAAGAACUGCUCCCAUAUCAGGUAGUAUUCCUGCUAAUUCUGUCAUAAUCAUGAUGAUUUUGGAGGUUAGGAAGACAGAAGUUAUUUCAUCCUUUGGUACAGAUAAUUAUGUGGUGUUUAAGGAACUCAGCAAUAACCCAGACCAUCCCUAAAAUACCUGCUAAAGUACAUCGGAGUUCAGAUGUUGUACUGAUGAUGCAAGCAGGAUUUUCAUGCGCUUUUCACACAACAGAAAUAAUAGAUGAAUGAAAACGUCUGCCAUGCAAAUGCGUCCCCGGAAUGGUAAAUGUGUUUGUGACCUACUUACUGAGUAGAGGUGAUCAACACAGUAUUGAUCUAUGCUGUUCUGUGGCUGCAGUAAUUAAGGAGCAUAACAAAUUGGGCAC